AGAAGAAAGAAAGGAAGAAAGAAAGAAGCUCAAGGAGGGGACAUAGACUCGUUCUUUCUUUUUUUCUUUCUUUCUCUUUAUUAUUAUUUUUUUUGACUCCGUAAUGCGCUGUAGGGUGCAGCAAUAGGUCAGGAGCAGCAGAAAUUCCCAAAAAAUGUGGAUUCUAUUUUCUUUGUUGUUCAAUUUUUUUUGAGAU
rnacentral:ribozyme from 1 species